CUUCAGUCCCAAAGAAGCCAUGCUGGUGGAGCCAGUGGAUUGAAAAAUGCCCAUUUGCUGGUGGGCUGGAGGACGGUCCUUCAGGUCUUUUCCAGGCUGAAUGACUGUGGCUCCAUGGUUGUGAUUCCCAGCUCCCUAGCGCUGUUCGCAGGCACAGCCCAGCCCCAGCCCCAAGGUGCUGCAGGAACCAGGGCCAGGAGGAGGCUGGGGAAGCAGAGAGGAAAUGCUGCAUCCAAGGCCAUGAAACACCCAGGAGCUCCACACCAAGGGGUUGCAGGGGGUCUCCAGAUUGGGUCAAGCUGCUGGGCAAUGCCAAGGUUUUGCAGAAUUUGGAGUGUACUUCCAAGGGAGCUCUGUGGGCUGGUGUCUGUGCUGUCCCUGAGCUCAGCCCCUGUGCAGGGACCCUUCCAGAACCCAGCAUUUCACAGCCAGGCUGGGCUGCUCAUCCCACAACUCAGGGAGCUGCUGGACUCACCGGCCCUGGAGGGCUUAACACAAGAGUGACUGUGGGAAUUUGGGAUAAGGUGAGGGGUGGGGUUGGCAGUGCUGGGUUAAUGGU